UACGAAGGGGGCUAGCGUUGCUCGGAAUCACUGGGCGUAAAGGGCGCGUAGGCGGCGUUUUAAGUCGGGGGUGAAAGCCUGUGGCUCAACCACAGAAUGGCCUUCGAUACUGGGACGCUUGAGUAUGGUAGAGGUUGGUGGAACUGCGAGUGUAGAGGUGAAAUUCGUAGAUAUUCGCAAGAACACCGGUGGCGAAGGCGGCCAACUGGACCAUUACUGACGCUGAGGCGCGAAAGCGUGGGGGGCAAACAGG
rnacentral:rRNA from 1 species